AUGUCACGUCGAGGUACUGCGGAAAAAAGAACUGCAAAAUCCGAUCCAAUUUUUCGUAAUCGAUUAGUUAACAUGGUGGUAAACCGUAUUAUGAAAGACGGAAAAAAUCAUUGGCUUAUCAAAUUCUCUAUCGAGCCAUGA
rnacentral:rRNA from 1 species